UACGUAGGUGGCAAGCGUUGUCCGGAUUUACUGGGCGUAAAGAGCGCGCAGGCGGUCGUUCAAGUCGCGUGUGAAAGCCCCCGGCUCAACUGGGGAGGGUCACGCGAUACUGAUCGACUGGAAGGCAGGAGAGGGUAGUGGAAUUCCCGGUGUAGUGGUGAAAUGCGUAGAUAUCAGGAGGAACACCGGUGGCGAAGGCGGGUCUCUGGGCCGUAACUGACGCUGAGGAGCGAAAGCAUGGGGAGCGAACAGG
rnacentral:rRNA from 1 species